GGACACUCCCCUCAGGCGCAGCCCCGCCAAAAUGUGUGGGGCGGGAGGUUCCUGCCGAAUUUUAUCGAAAGCCUGAAUUAAAAUUAACCUGCGAAGGCUGUAAUAAGGAAGGAAAUUAAGGGAUGCGUGUAUCUGUAUAAAUAUACGUGUGCUGCGGUGGCUUGUCGGCGGCGAUUAGGGAAGUCCUGCUGUCUGGAAAUUGGCUUUGCCUCCCAGGAAACCUGAGGGGAGCGCUGCCCUAGUUACUGCUGCGGGAGCCCUCGGGAGAGGCUCGAAAUGAAAUGGAUACAGGGGGUUAUUUUUCGUUCGAAAUAUGCUCUUGAAUAAAUUAGUUUUGCGUCCAGAAAUGGCAUCUGUUUUCCUUGGCUCGGGUGUUUUUCUUAGGAGUGUUUAGGUAUGCAGCUCACACGGGAAGCGGGGCUAAUAUCUGAGCAGCUUUGGAUAUCGGUGCUGUGUCGUGUUAGAGCAGAAAUGCUGCUUUAAUUCAAAAGUUUAAAUACAGAAAUGCUGUGGGGUCAGUAACCCCGGGAGGGAGAAAGGACGGGCACUUAAAACAUAGAACUCACGAGGUGAGAAACUAAGUGUUUUAUAAGAGUUAAGUGGCCUGAUGUUCAGUGACACCAUCUGAAAACGAACCUUCUCUUUUAUUUUCAAGGAAGUAGCUGAAAACACUGGAUGCACCUCUGUUUCUCCUGGAGGCCUUGUAUCCUCUGCGUUCCACUCGGGCUGUGGCUGAUGGGCUGGAAGAAACCUGGGCUGGUUAUUACAGAUACACUUAAUAUUAAACAAACAAUUAAAACAAAUGUGGGCCCCCUGAACUCAGAAGACCUUCUAAUUUGUGUCACUUGCUGAUUUAUCUCCAGUUCACAGCUCAUUAGAAGUGGCGUUGAAGGAUCUGUUAAAUGCAGCGGCUCGAAAAAUAUUCAGCUGUCACAGAAUUUUCGGAGAGGUUUGGGUGUAUUAGAAGUUGGUACAUGACAGUGUGAAGGGGUUGACUUCCAACCUGCUCGAGGCUUUGUCUGCAGGAUCUGGUGGUGUAAUUGUCUCCCCACGUGUUCAUGUGGCUGUUCACAGGUGCAUUAACUCCUGUCUGUCACCCAAAUUGCUGUUUAUUGC